GACCUCGAAUCAGGUAGGAAUACCCGCUGAACUUAAGCAUAUCAAUAAGCCGGAGA
rnacentral:rRNA from 1 species